AAUGAUAUAUUUGGGGUUUAAACCUGAAGGCCGUAGCCCAAUCUAGUCUCGGGAUUGCUUUGUUAUGACGAAUUUGCCCUCGUCGAGUUUGAUCCCUCCUCUUAAAUUUCCGAACGGGAAAAUGCAAUAAAACGGCGCCGCAUGGUUCAAGUAGGAGGGCGGCGGAGAUAAUUUGCUCCUCCACCACUGAUACAUACGCCACUAGGCUUCUUAUGAACAAGAAUUUACAAUCACUGAUUCUUUAGCAUUAUUUAUGACUUUCUAUUAGUUCUUUUUCUCACUCCACAAAAUUAGUUCUUGAUAAAUGAUAUAUUGUCUUUCCAGUUUCCAAUGAUUUUUCUUCUUGAAUAAUAAGAAACGUGUUAUCUACAAAAUAUGAAACCCAUGUGGUUAUUAUCUCUCCUAAUCAACUUAACGUGUAGACCUAAAACUAAAUAUGGAUAAACUAACAAAAUGUAAUUCUGUAUUAAUUCUUUAAUCUCCAAUAAGAUGUGUAAAGAAUAUUUUUUAAAGUAAAUAGAAAGACAUAGAUAGAUAAGAAUUGUCUGUGGGAAAGCAAGCAUAUAGAGGUGAAAAAUAGCAGGAAAGAAAAGAAUGAAAGAUGCAUGCAAUUUGAUCCAAAAAAAAAAGAUGCAUGCAAAAGAAAGGAUGGUUUAUUAAUGUUAAAGCGUGACAACUCCAUCCUUCUCAAUUUUUAUACGACGCGUCUAAAUCCUCUCCGUUCGUUUCUUAUUUCCAAUCAUUGUGAUGUGAUUGCUUCUUAUGAUUUGAUGCAUCCAUGCUCUUGUUUCUUAAUUUUUAAUUUGUGAUUUUGGUCAAAUCUUUAGUUAUUGUAGAAGACUUUCUUGGAAAUUUUCAAGUUAAAUAUGUAAUAUUUAAGUUUAAUUUUCAAUUGCAAAAGUAAUCUAAGACGACUUUCACCGACAGUGAGAAGACUUACGCCAACAAUUGAGAAAAAUUUUCGGAAAGUCUUCUGUUGGAAGACUUCUGUUGGAAGACUUGCUUGGAAGUCUUGCCUGGAAGUCUUCUAUGAAAAAAUUCCGUACACAAUUCAAUUAAUUGCAAAACUAACAUGCUUAUCUAAGAAGACUUCCAAAAAGUUCUUCUUUGAUAUUUUUUAGAUUUUUUAAAAACAAAAAGUAAAACAAUAUUUACAAAGGAAUACUUCAAUAAAAGUCUUUGGUAGAAAUAGACUUCUUUGGAAUUAUUUCUUUGUAAAAUUUCAGUUAAAAAAUGACAUAAAUGGUAGACUUUCUAGAAGUCUUUUGCCGGAAGACUUAUGUGAAAGUUUUAUAGGUCAAUGUUUAAGAAACUUUCAUUUUCUCUAAAAUUAUGAAGAUUUUUAAUAUUUUCUUGUUAAUUCAUGUAUAUUAAUCUAUGUUGGGGUUUGAAUGAAAUUCAUAAUUUAAUUGGUGAUAAUUAUGGGGUUACCAAAAUUUAUGUAUAUUAAUGUUUCUAGCUAAUGAUAGAACUUUUCUCGAAGUCUUUUAUGCUAGUUCUUAUAAAACAUGUAUUUUCAACUUGAAGAUAUAUGUUUUAAAUUUCAAAAGUGUUAAAUAACUUCAAAAAUAUCACGUCAUGUAGUUUAGUGUCUUUUUAGAUCAUAAGAUAUAUAUUUUUUACUUUCAUAAGACUGAAAAUUUCAAUUUUUACUUAGAUCAAUACUAUUAAAACAGAAAUACAAAUUUGGACCUAACUUAAUUAUAGGCGUAGUACUUAAAAAAAACUAUACUAUAUAUACUUUUUUGCCUAACUUAUAUUAUUACUAUCUUAAAAUAUAGCCUAACUAUGAAAAUAUUUUAAACUAACAAAUAUCCAUAAAUAUCUUUCUCUUAAAAGCAGGGAUCCCGCAGAUAAAUAUUUAAUAUUUUAAAAGUUAGAAGAUAAUUUAUUUUAGAUAAGAAAUCCAAUUAACUAUAUUUAUAAAUUUGAACCCAACGUCUAAUAUUUAAACAAGGAUAACAUACACAUUUUCUAUAUAGUUGCCGUGAAGUUAUUAUAUACUGUAAGAGUUUGUAUAUAAUUUAUUUUGAUUAUUAAAACCAAAUUCAAUAUAUAUAUAUAUAUUUAUAAAAGAUAAGAAGUAUAACUAUGUGAGAUAAGGAUUAAACUGAUUUUCUGAUAGAAUAAAUCACCAUAUAUUUUGAAAAGAUUUAAAUUUCAGCAAAUUUUAUUGAAAAUUAAAAAAAUGAUUUUUAAUCGAAUGAUUCAAAAUUAUCUGAAAA